GCGCAUCUGACACUGCUCUGUCACCUGCAAAAGACCACCAAACAAAGCAACAGUAGCAGUAAAUGACAAAAGACAAAGAAUAUAAAAUCAACGGUUGUAAUAUGGCUAUAAAAGCCAAAAUAUUCUCGUUGUACAUUUUUUUUCACACACACUUUAGAAAUAAAAGGCAGAACAGAGGUUUUUUAAAGGUUGAACUUUUACUGUUUUCUUUUUUAUUUUUUUAUUGUUAUUUUUUUUAUCUUUUUUACAACUUCAUUUUAACAAAAAUAACAUAGUAAUAAAAAAAGCACCUGAUUCGCUCCGAGACUCUGUCGACGG
rnacentral:lncRNA from 1 species